rnacentral:lncRNA from 1 species
CAUUGUUUGUGCAACGGGGAAAAGACGUGUGCUUCACUAUUUUGCGUAUGUGCAGUGAUAAAUAAUUAGUGAGGUGCGUGUGUAAUAGGUGUUCUGGGUGCAGGAAGUGCUUAUUUGGUUUAUAGUGAAGUGAAUCUAAAAUGUGAAGUGUAGUGCCACGGAUAACGUCAUAUUACCGCCACUUGCAGGUUAACGUCACGGGGCGGUCGUACUGCCACUAAAUAUUAAUGUAAUGGUGGAGGAGGAGGAUGCGGGGGCUGCUGGAGACACAAUUUCGACUGCUGAUAAGGUCGAGUUUAAUGCCGGUGUGCACUGAUGGUGACAAGCGCCUUCGUGUCAUCAGCAGCACUGACGUACGUCUGUCAUCGGACCGACUGGGUUCCUGACCAUCCAAGCUCGCGUAAUUGGCUGCCCCUCUCCACCACCCGAUCUCUCUGGAGGCACAAAUAUCAUGUGAUAGACAUCAAACCACUCUGAAGUCUCAACCCAGUGGCUGCUGAAGAUGAUCCCUGGCGAAUGACUGCUCAGAAGCAGAUACGUGUGCAUGAUGAGAAUAUCAGUUUUAAGACACCACUAUCAAUCGCUGGUGCAUCGGCGCUUGUAUUGUAAUUUGGGAGUGAAUUGUGUCAGACACUUCCCCCAGCCAGUGCCACACACCUCCGUCACUCAUGCUGAAUACUCUUCUAAUGCAUGUUGAUUAUGGGCUGCUGGAUGUAUAUUUUGGCAAUGAGCACAACAAACAUUUUAUAUAGUAAUUGGGAAAUGGCGGUCUUAUGACCUCUACACAGUGUGGCCCCCUCACUGGCAGCCUUGGCCUUUGAGUUGGUUAGCCCGACUGUUGGUAGUGGCUGCACCUGCACUAGUGGCGGGAUCGUCAUGAGCAGCAACACCAUCUGCGGAACCCGGGCCAUUGAUGUGGGGUCAAUGUAGUAAUAGUGGCUCUGCCAGCAGCAGCCCAGCCGCCUGUUCCGACACUGAAGAUGAGGAUGUACAGGGGCUCUACCAGAUAGUAUGGUGUCACUGUCACCGCAGAACCCACAAUCACCACCACCACUACCACGGUGGUAUAUGUUACCCGAAGAAUAUAAAGAUGAUGAAAUAAUGAGGGUGUAAUUUUCUUAUACAAAUUAAUAAAUACCAAUUAAGAGGA